rnacentral:rRNA from 1 species
GUAGGUGGCAAGCGCUGUCCGGAAUUAUUGGGCGUAAAGCGCGCGCAGGCGGUUCUUUAAGUCUGAUGUGAAAGCCCACGGGCUCAACCGUGGCGGGUCAUUGGAAACUGGAGAACUUGAGUACAGAAGAGGAAAGCGGAAUUCCACGUGUAGCGGUGAAAUGCGUAGAGAUGUGGAGGAACACCAGUGGCGAAGGCGGCUUUCUGGUCUGUAACUGACGCUGAGGCGCGAAAGCGUGGGGAGCAAACAGGAUUAGAUACCCUGGUAGUCCACGCCGUAAACGAUGAGUGCUAAGUGUUAGGGGGUUUCCGCCCCUUAGUGCUGCAGCUAACGCAUUAAGCACUCCGCCUGGGGAGUACGGCCGCAAGGCUG